UAGGGUGACCAACCAUCUCAGUUUGCCUGAGACCAAGGAGGUUCCCAAGAUGUUAGAUCUUUAGUUUUUAAACCAGGACGGUCCUGGGCAAACCGGGAUUAGUUGGUCACCCUAGGCCUGC
rnacentral:pre_miRNA from 1 species